AACUAUAACGGUCCUAAGGUAGCGAAAUUCCUUGUCAGGUAAGUUCUGACCCGCACGAAUGGCGUAAUGAUUUGGGCACUGUCUCAACAGCCCGCCCGGCGAAAUUGUAGUACUGGUGAAGAUGCCAGUUACCCGCAACUAGACGGAAAGACCCCAUGGAGCUUUACUGCAGCUUAAUACUGAGAUUCGGUAAUUCAUGUACAGGAUAGGUGGGAGACUUGGAAACAUGGCCGUCAGGUCGUGCGGAGUCAUCCUUGGGAUACCACCCUUGGUUUGCUGGGUUUCUAACCUGCGGCCCUGAAUCGGGUCGGGGGACACUGUUAGGCGGGCAGUUUGACUGGGGCGGUCGCCUCCUAAAGAGUAACGGAGGCGCUCAAAGGUUCGCUCUGCAUGGAUGGAAACCAUGCGUCAGAGUGUAAACGCAAAAGCGAGCCUAACUGCGAGAAUGACGGUUCGAGCAGUAACGAAAGUUGGAGUUAGUGAUCCGGCGGUAUGUGAAUGGAAAUGCCGUCGCUCAACGGAUAAAAGCUACCCUGGGGAUAACAGGCUGAUCUCCCCCAAGAGUCCACAUCGACGGGGAGGUUUGGCACCUCGAUGUCGGCUCAUCGCAUCCUGGGGCUGUAUUCGGUCCCAAGGGUUUGGCUGUUCGCCAAUUAAAGCGGUACGCGAGCUGGGUUCAGAACGUCGUGAGACAGUUCGGUCCCUAUCUGUCGUGGGCGCAGGAUAUUUGAGGAGCUCUGUCCUUAGUACGAGAGGACCGGGAUGGACGUACCUCUGGUGCACCAGUUGUCAUGCCAAUGGCACGGCUGGGCAGCUAUGUACGGAACGGAUAAACGCUGAAAGCAUCUAAGCGUGAAGCCGACUCCAAGAUUAGAUAUCCCAUCGUAUAACGAGUAAGACCCCUUGAAGACUACGAGGUUGAUAGGCUGCGUGUGUAAGUGCCGUGAGGCAUUCAGCUUGGCAGUACUAAUAGGUCGAGGGCUUGACCAC
rnacentral:rRNA from 1 species